GGACCAGUAGUUCAGUGGAUAGAAUGGCUGCCUGCGGAGCAGUUGGUCGUCGGUUCGAAUCCGAUCUGGUCCGCCA
rnacentral:tRNA from 1 species